UUAUAUCCAGUUAAGGCCACCAGGUUCUUUCCUCAUGGGGCCCAAGGUGCCAUGCCUACAACCAGCAUUCUCUUUGGGGAUAGGUGAAACCUGCCGCCUGUAUAGAUUGUUCUAAGGAACUUUGGAACAGAA